rnacentral:lncRNA from 10 species
GCCAAUGCUCUCUGCCUUCCUGAUGAGUUUAAGGAAGAACUGAAAGGAAAAAGAGCAAUGGGCCACACUUUCCAUAUCAGCAUUUUUCAGCCUAAGUGAGAAAAGACAGGAAUCUUGUGGAUAAGAGACCUGGAGCAGAAACAGGCCCAGCAUCCAGCCAGCACUGUCACCAGACUUGCAAAUGAAGCCACCAUAAAGGAUACAGCCAGCAUCCUGCCUGACUGGUGGGGCCAGCAGAACAACCCCUGCCAAAAACGCCCAGCCCUGAUUGCUGACCAUGGAGUAAACAAAUAAAAUGGUGAUUAUUUUUAAGACGUUACAAU